rnacentral:rRNA from 1 species
UACGUAGGGUGCAAGCGUUAAUCGGAAUGACUGGGCGUAAAGCGUGCGCAGGCGGCUUUGCAAGACAGAUGUGAAAUCCCCGGGCUCAACCUGGGAAUGGCAUUUGGGACUGCAAGGCUGGAGUGUGGCAGAGGAGACUGGAAUUCCUGGUGUAGCAGUGAAAUGCGUAGAUAUCAGGAGGAAUACCGAUGGCGAAGGCAGGUCUCUGGGCUGACACUGACGCUCAUGCACGAAAGCGUGGGGAGCAAACAGG